rnacentral:rRNA from 1 species
AGUAAAAAUAAGAGGUCCAGCCUGCCCAGUGACAAAUGUUCAACGGCCGCGGUAUCCUAACCGUGCGAAGGUAGCGUAAUCACUUGUUCUUUAAAUGAGGACUAGUAUGAAUGGCACCACGAGGGUCGCACUGUCUCCUUCCCCUAAUCAAUGAAACUAAUCUUCCCGUGAAGAAGCGGGAAUUUAUCUAUAAGACGAGAAGACCCUAUGGAGCUUUAAAUUUCUCUUCAAACGCCAGACAUAAACCCUAAACAUCUUACACCAACCCGGCGCCAUGAAGAUGAAUUUUAGGUUGGGGUGACCACGGAGAACAAGACAACCUCCACGCUGAAUAGGCCUAAAACCUUGAACUAAGGACCACAGCCCGACGAACUAAAAAAUUAACACCCAUUGACCCAAUUCUUUUUGAUCAACGAACC